rnacentral:rRNA from 1 species
UACGUAGGGUGCGAGCGUUAAUCGGAAUUACUGGGCGUAAAGCGUGCGCAGGCGGUUUUGUAAGCCAGAUGUGAAAUCCCCGGGCUUAACCUGGGAAUGGCAUUUGGGACUGGCAAGGCUUGAGUGCGGCAGAGGAGACUGGAAUUCCUGGUGUAGCAGUGAAAUGCGUAGAUAUCAGGAGGAACACCGAUGGCGAAGGCAGGUCUCUGGGCUGACACUGACGCUCAUGCACGAAAGCGUGGGAGCGA